rnacentral:rRNA from 1 species
ACUCAAAUGAAUAGACGGGGGCCCGCACAAGCAGCGGAGCAUGUGGUUUAAUUCGAAGCAACGCGAAGAACCUUACCAGGACUUGACAUCCCUCUGGCGUAUACAGAGAUGUAUAUUUUCUUCGGAACAGAGGAGACAGGUGGUGCAUGGUUGUCGUCAGCUCGUGUCGUGAGAUGUUGGGUUAAGUCCCGCAACGAGCGCAACCCUUAUCUUCAGUUGCCAGCAGGUGAAGCUGGGCACUCUGGAGAGACUGCCGGGGACAACUCGGAGGAAGGUGGGGAUGACGUCAAAUCAUCAUGCCCCUUAUGUCCUGGGCUACACACGUGCUACAAUGGCCUGAAACAAAGGGAAGCGAAGGCGCAAGUCGGAGCGAACCCCAUAAACCAGGUCCCAGUUCGGAUUGUGGGCUGCAACCCGCCCACAUGAAGUCGGAGUUGCUAGUAAUCGCGAAUCAGCAUGUCGCGGUGAAUGCGUUCCCGGGCCUUGCACACACCGCCCGU